AAAGUCACCUGGAAAUCUCUUAAAAAUUCCUAAGCCCAGGGGCUGGCCCCAUGGCUGAGUGGUUAAGUUCGCGCGACCCGCUACAGGUGGCCCAGUGUUUCGUUGGUUCGAAUCCUGGGCGUGGACAUGGCACUGCUCAUCAAACCACGCUGAGGCAGCGUCCCACAUGCCACAACUAGAAGGACCCACAACGAAGAAUAUACAACUAUGUGAUCCUUGCCCUCUUCAGGGUCUGCCCCCACCUCCCUCUGGCCACUGGAUGCAUAAUUAAGAUCAAGUCUCAGCAAAACCUGACUGGAGAAGUACGAGGCUUGCAAAGGGAAGAGAGAGAAAAUAUAACAAAAGAGCCACAGGACCUGGCUAACAUGUACUGGCAGGAACUGGGAACAUUUGACAGGGAGUGACUCCCGGAGGUGCUGAAUCAAGGGAGGCAGAUUAAAAAUCUAAGUAAGGGAUUUAACACCUGGCUGUUAAAGGGUCCUUGGUGACAGCACUACUGGGCUGGUGCUUGAAGAUUGAAAAAGUCCUGGCCCAUUGUACAUGGUGUAGAUGCAAACUGUGGAGCAAAGGCUUAGAGAAGGUAGAAUGUUAGACUAUGCCUUCUAUGUAAACCUGGAAACCCUAUCACUGUCUACGUUUCUCAGGAAGGCCUAGAAGACAGUUCAUAACCAAGGUGGUGAGAAACAUGCUGUGGGGGGAGAGGGGGACAUCGCCUUGUUGGAAGUCCAGUAACAGCUAUUCUCUGCAGGCCAGGACUGACAAUAGAAGAUGCUGUUACAUCUAGAAGUGGGCUUUACACAUCAAUGGGGAUGACAAGACUCUGGAAAUAAAGAGCAGGGGCAGCGCUUAAACAUUAGAGGUAAAGGGCAUAAUUAAUGUGAUGGGCAGCAAGUUUGGAACCGCAGCCAGGGGGACCUCGAGAUCCCUAGAGACGGCUCAUAGAGCAUUCCUAGGGGCAAGGAGAUGGGCUGCCAUGAGGGAUCCUGCUUAAUAUAUAUAACCAAAAGGGAUCAAGAACGAACGAGGAGAAAAUAGAAGUCACAGCCCACCAUUCCUCCCA
rnacentral:lncRNA from 1 species